UAAAUCAAAAGUACCACGCCAGAGGCGGAAGAUGAGCCGAGCCGAGCCGAGCCGAGCCCAGUCGUGCUUUUGGAAUAGUUUGACGCAAUGCAAUGCCAACGUUGGGAAAACAUCAAGUCGAGAGGGGCUGCGGAGGAACCGACGAGUGACAAACUCCGCCCAUUUCCUCCUUGUGCGCAAGCGAGCCGAGCCGAGCCGAGCCGCGUGGACUAAUUCAUUUGACACGCUCGCCCACCUGUGGAUUUGCUUUGCUCGAUUUUGGGCCUAGAAUGAGCAAAAACAGUGACGUUGCAUUUUGGAUUUGUGCAGUAGCAACGGAGCCAGCCCAUCGGACAUCACGAGUCGCGGGUGAGUGAGUGCGUGAGUAGGAGCGGCAGAUGAAACUCUGAUGAAGGCGAGCGAGUGAGGCGCAAGAAUGCACAAGGAAGGAAGAGAGAACUCAUCCAGAAAGGGAAGAGCGGAGACGAGGAGGCCGUCCGACUCACUGGGCCCUUUGACCGAGACGUUCAAUGUUCCACUGCCGGCGCCCUUGGUGAAAACUUUGAAGUCUGCAACCUCCUUCACUCUCACACCCUUGGGCUGGAGUCCUCGACCUGUGGCUCUGCAGGCGUUUGGAUUGAUGGCUGAAAGGAAUACCGAGUAUUUGGUUGUGGAUCUGUCGAGCGAAGGCUUCGGCCUGAUGGGCGCUGGCCAGACGUUCGUCCUCCAGCAGUCCUGAAGGAACACGAGGAACAUAUCAGUCGGGCCAGCGGGAGAUGCUGCGUUGCUCCACCACGGGUUGACAGUAGACAUAUCAAGCCAAACAGCGCCCCCUGCUGGAGCCCUGCCACACCACAAAGGCGCGUCUCACCUUGCAGCUCCAGGAAGCCGUCGUGGUGCUUAGUCGACGUCUCCCUGGCAUCCUCCAACUCCAGCAGCAGCUGCAGGACUUGAGCCCUCAGCUCUUCCAGCUCCUGUUCCUCCUGCUCCUCCUGCUUCUCGCUCAGAUUCCCGCCGCCUCCGUCCUCCCCGUCUUUGGCGGCACGCUCGGGCUCCAUCUCCAGCUUCUCGUCGCCGUCCUCCGGCACGUCUCUCUCCUCGGCGCCGCCGUCCGCUUUGAGCUGGCUCGGAUCACCUGAAGGAGACAUGAAAGGCACGGAGCGGCGGCAGCGGCACAGGCGACAGCGGCCUCCAUUUGAAUAUUCAAAGUAGCGACACCUUUUCAUCAUGCCUGGAACUGAGAUGGUUGGCAGAAUGGAGCCAAAGCAGAGACGAACGAGGACCACGUGAUAAAAGGCUCUGGAGUGAGGCACUUGCGCACACACAAAUUCUAUUGAAGGGACUAAAGUACUCUUACAUUGUGCUAGAGCAGAGCUACAGAUACUUGUUGAAAAUAAAACUAUUCACUCAAAAACGUA